GGGAGGCUAGCUCAGUUGGUAGAGCGCGUGCUUAGCAUGCACGAGGUCAGCGGUUCGAUUCCGCUGCUUUCCA